rnacentral:rRNA from 1 species
ACGAAGGGGGCUAGCGUUGUUCGGAAUUACUGGGCGUAAAGGGCGCGUAGGCGGUCCUUUAAGUCAGGCGUGAAAGCCCUGGGCUCAACCUGGGAAUGGCGCUUGAUACUGUAGGACUAGAGAGUGGGAGAGGUUGGUGGAAUUCCCAGUGUAGAGGUGAAAUUCGUAGAUAUUGGGAAGAACACCGGUGGCGAAGGCGGCCAACUGGACCAUUUCUGACGCUGAGGCGCGAAAGCGUGGGGAGCAAACAGGAUUAGAUACCCUGGUAGUCCACGCUGUAAACGAUGAGUGCUGGACGUUGCGGAGCUUGCUCUGCGGUGUCGUAGCUAACGCGAUAAGCACUCCGCCUGGGGAGUACGGCCGCAAGGUUG